ACGCGGCGGCGUGCCUAACACAUGCAAGUCGAACGGAAAGGCGCCUUCGGGGGUACUCGAGUGGCGAACGGGUAAGUAACACGUGGUUAAUCUGCCCAUGACACAGGAAUAACCAGUGGAAACGCUGGCUAAUGCCUGAUGACGUGCAGCCUCUUCGGAGAUCUGUACCAAAGGUAGCUUCGGCCUCCGGUCAUGGAUGAGCCCGCGGCCCAUUAGCUUGUUGGCGGGGUAACGGCCCACCAAGGCGACGAUGGGUAGCUGGUCUGAGAGGACGAUCAGCCACACUGGGACUGAGACACGGCCCAGACUCCUACGGGAGGCAGCAGUGGGGAAUCUUGCGCAAUGGGCGAAAGCCUGACGCAGCAACGCCGCGUAGGGGAAAAAUACCUUCGGGUUGUAAACCGCUUUCAGCAGGGAAGAGCUCGAGCAGGUUAAUAGCCUGUCAGCUGACGGUACCU
rnacentral:rRNA from 1 species